GGAUUUGAGGGUGAUCUGGCUGUGACAUCUGUCACCAAUUGAUCGCCACAGUUGAUUCAGCUGAUCUGGCUGGCUAGAUGGUUGUCCCCUUCCCUCCUCACUGCUCCAUGUGCAUCCCUCCCGAAGUGCACUUGGUCAAAGGGGAUAACAGACCACCCCUGAUAGAUCAAGACUGUUUCCUCCAUCAGGAGUAUAGGAGUAGCAGCACUACCUUGCAAGAAUCUCCAAACAAGCUCUCAGAAAUACAGGGCUCAAGAAAAUGUGGGAAUUCGAGGUUCUGAAUCACAUGUAACCAAAGAGUGUCUUCCUAGGUAUCAAGGUUACACUUCCUU
rnacentral:snRNA from 1 species